rnacentral:rRNA from 1 species
AGUGAACGCUGGCGGUAGGCCUAACACAUGCAAGUCGAACGGCAGCACAGGAGAGCUUGCUCUCUGGGUGGCGAGUGGCGAACGGGUGAGGAAUACAUCGGAAUCUACUCUGUCGUGGGGGAUAACGUAGGGAAACUUACGCUAAUACCGCAUACGACCUACGGGUGAAAGCAGGGGACCUUCGGGCCUUGCGCGAUUGAAUGAGCCGAUGUCGGAUUAGCUAGUUGGCGGGGUAAAGGCCCACCAAGGCGACGAUCCGUAGCUGGUCUGAGAGGAUGAGUCGCCACACUGGCACGUAGACACGGUCCAGACUCCUACGGGAGGCAGCAGUUGGGAAUAGUGGAGAAUGGGCGCAAGCCUGAGCCGGCCAUACCGCGUGGGUGAAGAAGGCCUUAGGGUUGUAAAGCCCUUUUGUUGGGAAAGAAAUCAAGCUGGCUAAUACCCGGUUGGGAUGACGGUACCCAAAGAAUAAGCACCGGCUAACUUCGUGCCAGCCGCCGCCGUAA